rnacentral:rRNA from 1 species
AGCAGCCGCGGUAAUUCCAGCUCCAAUAGCGUAUAUUAAAGUUGCUGCAGUUAAAAAAGCUCGUAGUUGAAUUUCGGGACCGAUAUAUCGGUCGUGCCUCGGUACGUACUGGUAUUUUCGGUUUCUACCUUCUGACGAACCUUGAUGUCAUUAAUUUGGUGUCUUGGGGAAUCAGGACUGUUACUUUGAAAAAAUUAGAGUGUUUAAAGCAGGCUCACGCUUGAAUACAUUAGCAUGGAAUAAUGAAAUAGGACGUUUGAUUCUAUUUUGUUGGUUUCUAGGAUCGACGUAAUGAUUAAUAGGGAUAGUUGGGGGCAUUAGUAUUCAAUUGUCAGAGGUGAAAUUCUUGGAUUUAUUGAAGACUAACUACUGCGAAAGCAUUUGCCAAGGAUGUUUUCAUUAAUCAAGAACGAAAGUUAGGGAUCGAAGACGAUCAGAUACCGUCGUAGU